UCUAUAAUAUACUCUACAGUACAGUACAAUAUAGUAUAGUACAUAGACACUAUGGGUGCGUUCGGGGAGACGCUAUUAGCGCUAACAGCAUCGUUCUAUCUUUGUUACUUAUUGAAAGUUGAACAAGGACAGAACACGCUCAUAGCGCUAAAAGUGUGCUCCCCGAACGCAGCCUAUAGGAUACCAUACUACACUAUAGGGGUCUAUAAUUUUGUAAGCAAAUCCAGAAAAGUAUCUAAUGGUGAUAAACGAUCUGCAGAAGGAAAUGCUGCCAAACCUAGAACAAUUCACAGUUCGACUCUGAGAUAUUUCACCGCACAAAAUAUUAGCGGCAUGUUCUCUAGCUCGCAGCAUUAAGCUAACUGGAUGCAACCAUUGAUUCAAGAGUCUUUUUGCACGAGAUCUCGGCAAGAAAGACAACAAUUUCAAUUUCUGAACGACAUUUUCUUUUGUAUCGCUUAUAUCUAAAUAAAAAAUCAUCAAUUUACAGCAAAAUGUCUACACAUACCGGCUAGAAUAAUCUUGGUAACGUCAACUUGGAGUUCAAAUACCGAACGUUCGACAUAUUGCAGAAACAUCGAGUAUUUAAGAGUGCGAUAACCGAGAUAAGUAAAAAACGAUGCAAAUCCCUGUGGCACCGGGAAUGCGAUGUUCUCUAUUGCGUGUCUAUAUCGUUGCAAGAGCAUAAAUAGCAACCAUCGUCUUGCCUCGUCCAAUUGAUCUCUGUAUAAAGUAACAUUAUAUGAAAUGAGAACAUAUAAUAUAACAAUGAAUUAAGUAAAU